UACGAAGGGUGCAAGCGUUAAUCGGAAUUACUGGGCGUAAAGCGUGCGUAGGCGGUUUCUUAAGUCUGCUGUGAAAUCCCCGGGCUCAACCUGGGAAUGGCAGUGGAUACUGGGAGGCUAGAGUGUGUCAGAGGGUGGUGGAAUUCCCGGUGUAGCGGUGAAAUGCGUAGAGAUCGGGAGGAACAUCAGUGGCGAAGGCGGCCACCUGGGACAACACUGACGCUGAGGCACGAAAGCGUGGGGAGCAAAC
rnacentral:rRNA from 1 species